UGCGUAGGCGGACUAUUAAGUCAGUGGUGAAAUCCUGCAGCUCAACUGUAGAACUGCCAUUGAUACUGAUAGUCUUGAGUUUGGUUAAGGUAGGCGGAAUGUGUAAUGUAGCGGUGAAAUGCUUAGAUAUUACACAGAACACCGAUUGCGUAGGCAGCUUACUGAGCCGACACUGACGCUGAGGCACGAAAGCGUGGGGAUCGAACAGGAUUAGAUACCCUGGUAGUCC
rnacentral:rRNA from 1 species